rnacentral:sRNA from 1 species
GAUACCAACAAAAAACAAAGAUGCCG